CGGUGAAUGCUUUCAUAAAAUACUUGAAUGAAUUAAACUAGAGUAAAGAUGAAAGAUAAAGCAAGAAUAAGCACAAGAACAAGCACAACACAAACACAAUGAUAUAUAGUGGUUCGGUGCACCCCAAGGCACCUACGUCCACUCCCCAAGCGUCCCCUUGGGAAUUUUACUAUAACCCCUCGGAUUACAGUAGGAUUGUUUUCCGGGCUCACAAUCCAAAACCUUUACAAUUUGGUUUUCCGGGAUCACCAAAAACCUAUGUUGGUUUUACGGGCUUACCAACGAACCUUCACAAUUGGUUUUACGGGCUUACCAAGAACCUAUGUUGGUUUUACGGGGUUACCAACAACCUACGUUGGUUUUACGGGCUUACCAACAACCUAUGUUGGUUUUACGGGGUUACCAACAACCUACGUUGGUUUUACGGGCUUACCAACAACCUACGUUGGUUUUACGGGCUUACCAACAACCUACAAUGUUGGUUUUACGGGCUUACCAACAAACCUUACAAUAAGUAGUUUGACAAACAUAAAGAAGGAUUCAAACUCCUAAAUGAGCAUAUGAAACAAUAUAAACUACAAAGAAGAGUUAGAAAGUAUUUAUCGCUUUGAAGUGGCUUUGCUCUUCUUUNNN
rnacentral:lncRNA from 1 species